UACGUAGGGGGCAAGCGUUGUCCGGAUUUAUUGGGCGUAAAGAGCGUGUAGGCGGCCAGGUAGGUCUGCUGUGAAAACUCGAGGCUCAACCUCGAGACGUCGGCGGAAACCAUCUGGCUAGAGUCCGGAAGAGGAGAGUGGAAUUCCUGGUGUAGCGGUGAAAUGCGCAGAUAUCAGGAAGAACACCCGUGGCGAAGGCGGCUUCUUGGGCCUGGACUGACGCUGAGGCGCGAAAGCUGGGGGAGCGAACGGG
rnacentral:rRNA from 1 species